rnacentral:lncRNA from 1 species
CAUUUAGCAUCUUUAGAUUUUUUUUUUUUCUACAAAUAGCCUUAUAAAAUUUAUAUUUGCAAGAUUGGUCUUAUCCCCGCCAUGCAAGCGCCACGUGAGCGUCGAUGGUGAUGGAGGUUGAAAUGAACGCGGUGAAUCAUUCACCGUGUUGGAAUACGGUAAAUGAUUCACCAUAUUCUUUCUAAAUCUUUUUUUUUCUGAGAAAAUGGUAGCAUAUUACCCGCUUCGUUUAUGACAUUUAGAAAUAAACUUAGCUGGAAAUGUGAAUCAAUUAGGAUUUGAAAUUGGGUCUCGGGUACCAACCACUAAGUCCUUUUGCCACUUGCGCUAGGGACGGUCGGUUAUCAUUCCUAAAUCUUAAACCCAAAAUAUUACGUAAUACCGUCGUAGGAAAAUAAUAAAACACGAUGAACCAUUCACCGUAUUUGGACAUGAUGAUACGGUGAAUGAUUCAUCAUGUUAAUCCUAAACUGCCGCUCACAUGGCGCUUGCGUUGCAUUUGCGUGGUAGAAAUAGGGCCAAUAUUGCAAACAUAAAUUUUGUAGGAUUAUUUAUAAAAAAAGAAAAUUAUGAGAAGGUUA